CGUUAAUGUUUUUACAAAUUAAAUGUGUUAUAUGGGCCUCGAAUAGCUCAAUGAGGUACCGCGAACAUAAAAAUGAUAGGAUUAUUAAACAUCUUACUAAUAAUCGUUUCAACAAAAUGACCAACAUUUAAUAUAGUAUUAAAUACAUUGGCAAGUCAUUAAAGAGAUUAAGUCAGUAUAAAUAGCAGUUUACAUAAGAAUAUGUACUACAGUGCAUAAUCACCAGUUGUGUUGUGACAAGUGAUCAUAUAAUAUUAUUGUAAAUAUGAAGUUCUAUCUCUUUGCUUUGGCAGUGCUUCUCGCCGUCAUUUCUACCGUUCUAGCCGAUCCCGGGGGCAUAAAGAUCCCUGAUUGUCCAGAUGGAUAUUAUAACAGGGGUGGUUUCUGCGUUCCAGAUUACGACUACUAGCCUGAUGUUCCUACACCGCAGCAGCGUCCUUUGUGAUUAUCCGUAGUUUUAUGAUGAAGUGAUCAAAUCCUUAGAAAAAUGUAAUCAUAAAAAUAAAUGUACACAAAUUAUAA